rnacentral:lncRNA from 1 species
AAACCUCCAACUCACAACUUCUAACUUCUUCCACAUUUAAAGAUCAUUUCUGGAUAUUUGAGGAAGAAGAAACUCGAGCAAAACCCAACUAAAAGAGAGAAAACCUGAGCUGCUACCUGGAAAUCCUGAAAAACAAUGUCUCCCGACCCCUUGAGAGAAAUAUGGAUAGAACUUGAGGUACAGGGCACGAACAUUAGUGAAAAAGAAUGGAAAAUUUCAAGGAAAGAGUGGAGAAUAUCAUAGGAAAAAGAAGCACCCAAAAUGGAGCUGUAACAAAGGAGACAAAGCUCAAAAACUGCGACCCAUCUGCAAAGGUUGCGGAAGAGAACACGUUCAGCACUGAGCCGUAGUUUUUGAGGUAAAAUGAUCCGAUUUCAUCACCGUUUUGACUGGGGUUUUUCCUUUCAUAACCAUUAAUCGUUUGUGAAGAAUUUAAUGAAAGAAUCACCUAAAAAGUGCUCUAACGAGGGAGAAAAGUGCAAAUUACAAAAGGUGCUCGAAGUAGAAACUGCAGGUGAGCAUGUCCCACUUUGAUAAAUUUUGUGAGUUACUUUCUCCAUAGUUUUUAGUGCUUCUUUUUGGGUUAGUUUCAUGAAACAUUAGGCAAGAAAUGUAGCAAAUUAUAGGGAAAGAAAUGAACAAAAAUGGUCUAGAUUUGGGUGAGAAAAUGGACCCAAAAGUCAGUACGUAAAAUUGAUGAGAAACUACAGCUUUUGUAGGUUGAAGAAAUCUGAAAUUUUGGGCAUUUUUUUAGGUACUGAAAUGGAGAAAAUGAUUCAGGCUAAAAUUUUGGAUUUAGAACGGAACCGUACCAUGGUCGACGUAAGAAUAGUAGUAAUCCUUCGAACACUUGUAAUGGCUUUUCUAGAUGCAUCUAAAGGGUAAGUUUUCUGCAAAAUCAUCGAAGAGUUUUAAAUGAAAAUAGAAGUGUGUGUCAUGCGAGCUUUCUGUAGUUAAAUUAUGUUUUUAUUUGAUGUUUUGAUGUUGGGUGUUGUUAUUGAUGUUUGGAAAAUGGAAUUGAAUGUUUUACAUAAUCAAAAUUGGAAGAAAUUAGAGAAUAAUUGUUAGAAAUAAAUAAUUAAAAAGGGAAUUUUGAAGAAAAUGGGCAAAUGAAAUAUAACUAAUUGGUAAAAAAAAAAAGUGGGCAAAAUAGCACUAAAUGAAAAUUAAAUAGAAAGAAAUUAGAGGAAGAAAUAAAUUGGGAGAUUAUAGAAAAAAAAUUAAGGAUACCAAUGGGAUAAAUAAAAUAAUUAGUAUUAGAAAAUUUAAAUAGGAAAUUCAGAUUAAAAUUAAAUUGAGUUUAAAAUAUAGUAAAAUAGGAAUUAAAUAUUAAUAGCUUAAAAUAGGAUAAAAUAUAUAAAUAAAUUUAGAAUUAAUUAAAGAGGAUUUUUUUUUUUGUUUGUUUUUUUGAUGCAUGAAAUAAUUGUAUUGGUUACUAAUUGAAAUGAAAUGGUUAUAAUUGUUAAUGGUUAAAAGGAAGUGUAUGAAGGUAAAAUUGGUCAAAGGGAGGGACAGGUAAGAAUAGGAAAAGAAACUGAGAAGGGAGUGGGGAACACGGAGAGUUAGGGGGAUUAGGUCUAGUUUAGGGUGUUGUCUAAAAAGAAAACUAAUGAUGUCUUUAAUAAAACUUAAUUUACCAAGUAGUCAUGUUAAAUCUAUUUCAUCUGAUUUUUUAGAGGGGUAUAAUUCUGUUGUGUCAAUUGUAUUGUUAGGGAGCCAUUAGAAGUAUGAGUGUUGGUUAUUGGUUCUAGGUUAAAAUCGAUGUUCAAUGUCCCUAGGUCAACUGGACUAUUAGAUUCAUGCUCUCGGGCAGGAGAUGAAUCAAUGUCAACUCGAGUAAAAUUGUGGGAUGGCAACCAAAGAGAAAGAGCGAUUGCAUGAUUUUACGAGUUAUAUAUAAUGUUAUUGAUUGGAUUAAUUGAUUUAUGCACUCACUCAUAACUUUAGUUGGUGUCACGAUUGCCCUCCAUGGAAAAAGGUAUAAAUGGUUGCGUGCGUAGGAUUGGAAAUGUAAACCUAAUUAAAGAUAUAAAGCAAUACUAAAAGAUUUAAAAAGAAGAAGAAUCAGAGUCAGUUCUGGGUGUGUGUGUUAGAAGAUUGCAUGUGAUGUGAUUGAUUGGUUUGAAAUGAUAUGAUUUAUGGAAAUAUUAAAAUCGUUAUUGUUAAAGGAAUGAGUAUGGAAUUCAUAAUUGGGAACUGUAUGACAUUUAUAAUAUUAUUAAAAAAGAUUUUAAGAGGAUUGUAUUAUUUUCAUUAUAAUUUUUUUUUUACUAAAUGCAUUAAAAGGGACUUCAAAACGUUAUUUGUGGCAUACAAAUAUUAUUAUGCUUACUGAGUUACUAGAACUCAUCCCAAUCUAAAAUCUUUUUUUGAGGUUAGUAAACCAUGAUAAUGUUAGGAGCUAGUGAGGAGAACUCUCUAAUUUUUGGUUAAAAUUUAUUCGGCAGGUAAGAAUUUAAUUUAAGUGUUGUUUCAUUUUAAGGGAUGUUUAUUACAUGUAGAUUUGUUGCAUUUGAUAAUGUCUUCUUGGUCACUUUGUUGUGAUAUGAACGACUAACAUCUUGUCCUCUGGUAUUAGGGACGAGACGUCACACUAUUGUAGGUUAUUCAAAUUCGGAGACAAAUCUUUCUGAAGAAGGAAGAGAUGGUGUGACCAUGGAAGAGAAGUAUUCUUGCAAUAAAUGGGAGUUCCACAUGGGGGAACAUUCCUGCAGCCUAAACACCUGCGGAUAUAUAGUAGCAAGAGGCCAUAAAUGCUCACGCAAUAGCAUGCCUCAAGAGGGCGCUAGGAAGUUUCCAUGGACAAAGAUUUUUCUUAAGGACUUUCGCCAAGUCCACACCAAAGAGGCAAGUAAUUGCGGGUUUGCUUCAUUUCUUAAUUUGAUUCAUCCCAAAUAGGAAAGCAUCAAACACCUAUAAACAUUUUUUAAAACUGGGUUAUCAAUAAGGUAAGCCCAAAACAAGGCAAGGGUGCAAGCGUGAGGCCCAUGAAGAGAUCCACAAGCUUAGAAAGUUAUAAUAGGAUAAAAAUCCAAGCCUUGGCCCAAGGCAAGGAAGGAUCAAGGCCUCAUGGCCAAGAAAGUUAUAAACCAAAAUUGUCACGCCAAAAGAUAGUAGGUCGGGCCAUGCUAUACCAUUUGGCAGCCUUUGCUCGCAAGCACAAGUGCACAUUUGUGCGGGAUAGACGGCCCGCACCUGCGAGUAGCUUGAACACGUGGGAGGGACAAGUCCACGCAGGUGAAACAUGUGGGUAGGAAGUUUGAACCCGAGAGGGACUCUUCCCUUUUCCUUUUUCACAUGUGUUUUGCAUGAUUAUAGAUAAAGGAGAAUUCUACUGUAAAUUAAAGUUAAAAAAGGAUAAAAAACACAUGAAAAAUUCGGCAAAGAGAAAGAAGAAUCCUACCAAGUAUUUAAUUAAUUAUUUUAUUUAAGUUCUAGAUUAAGAAAAAAUAUAUUUUAAUUAUUAUUAAUAUUUAGAUAUUAUUUAAGUAUUAUUUUAAUUCUAAAAUUGGGGUAAAAUAUUAGAUUUUAGGUAAAUUUUGGAUUAAAUUCAAGUUUUUGAGUUUGUAUAGAAUCUAUCUAGUGAAAGCCUAUAUAAAGGUCUCACCUUAGAUUGUAAUUUACAACUUUCAAGAAUUCAGAAAUAAACUUCAGUUUUGUUUUUUUCUAAAUUAGGAUUGCUAAUUUGAGAGUGAUUGUUCUUCAAAGAAGGUUGCUUCAACCAUCUUGUUGAGUCGGAAAAAUCUGAAUUGACUUAUCUUGUAAGCUGUUGUGUCUUUUUUAUUCUUUACUUUAAUUCUAAGUUACCUUAGUUUGCAUUCAAAUUGCUAAAUGUGGUUUAAGUAGGGAAGGUUUAUUAGGAAAUUAAGUUUUUGCAUGUUAGUGUAGAUGUGGAUUUAUGAUCAAGGUGUUUUGAUCAUAGAGCUCCUCAUAUCGACUUGUGUUCUUUCAAACAUUAUAGUUUAUCUAUUAAGUUGCCAAGCUCAUCUAUCACUAGUUUUUCUUUAAACACUAUAACUUAUUUAUAAAGGUGCCUAGCUCACUUAUCACUCAUUUUUUCCUCAAACAAUGUAACUUAUCUGUCAAGGUGCCUAGCUCACUUUUUAUUAAUGUUUCAUUAAAUACUAUAAUUUGAUAUUAAAAUGUUAAGCUCACAUUUAACUUGCAUUCAUCCAAC